rnacentral:rRNA from 1 species
GACGAACGCUGGCGGCGUGCUUAACACAUGCAAGUCGAACGGAAAGGCCUUUUCGGAGGUACUCGAGUGGCGAACGGGUGAGUAACACGUGGGUGAUCUGCCCUGCACUCUGGGAUAAGCCUGGGAAACUGGGUCUAAUACCGGAUAGGACCGCACUUUAGUGUGUGUGGUGGAAAGUUUUUUCGGUGUAGGAUGAGCCCGCGGCCUAUCAGCUUGUUGGUGGGGUAAUGGCCUACCAAGGCGGCGACGGGUAGCCGGACUGAGAGGUUGGUCGGCCACAUUGGGACUGAGAUACGGCCCAGACUCCUACGGGAGGCAGCAGUGGGGAAUAUCGCACAAUGGGCGCAAGCCUGAUGCAGCGACGCCGCGUGGGGGAUGACGGCCUUCGGGUUGUAAACUCCUUUCGCCAGGGACGAAGCGUUUUGUGACGGUACCUGGAGAAGAAGCACCGGCUAACUACGUG